UCCGGGCAUGGUGGCGCAUGCCUGUAAUCCCAGCUACUUGGGAGGUUGAGGCAGAAGAAUUGCUUGAAACCAGGAGGCGGAGGUUGCAGUGAGCUGAGAUCGUGCCACUGCACUCUAUCCUGGGCGACAGAGCGAGACUUCGUCUCAA
rnacentral:SRP_RNA from 1 species